rnacentral:rRNA from 1 species
AUUGAACGCUGGCGGCAGGCCUAACACAUGCAAGUCGAGCGGAGCGGCGGACGGGUGAGUAAUGCCUAGGAAUCUGCCUGGUAGUGGGGGAUAACGUCCGGAAACGGGCGCUAAUACCGCAUACUAUAAGCUGAGACUAGGUCGGAUUAGGUAGUUGUGGGGGUAAAGGCCUACCAAGGCGACGAUCCGUAUCUGGUCUGAGGGGAUGAUCAGUCACACUGGAACUGAGACGCGGUCCAGACUCCUCCGGUAGGCAGCGUUGGGGAAUAGUGGACAAUGGGCGAAAGCCUGAUCCAGCCAUGCCGCGUGUGGGAAAAAGGUCUUCGGAUUGUAGAGCACUUUAACUUGGGAGGCGUUACCAUCUGAAUAAGCACCGGCUAACUCCGUGCCAGCCGCCGCGGUAAUAC